rnacentral:tRNA from 1 species
GUCAGGAUAGCUCAGUUGGUAGAGCAGAGGACUGAAAAUCCUCGUGUCAACAGUUCAAA